rnacentral:snRNA from 1 species
CAUCUCUGGAUCUGGUGCAUUUAACCGAGAAAAUCUUUCGCCUUUCACCAAAGAAUUCCGUGUAGCGGAGCGACUAUGAGUGAAUGCCAAUUUUUGCAGUCCACUCGACAAAGAGCGGGA